AUUGGACGCUGGCGGCAUGCCUUACACAUGCAAGUCGAACGGCAGCACGGGAGCUUGCUCCUGGUGGCGAGUGGCGAACGGGUGAGUAAUGCAUCGGAACGUGCCCUGAAGUGGGGGAUAACGUAGCGAAAGUUACGCUAAUACCGCAUAUUCUGUGAGCAGGAAAGCAGGGGAUCUUCGGACCUUGCGCUUUUGGAGCGGCCGAUGUCGGAUUAGCUAGUUGGUGGGUAAAGGCCCACCAAGGCGACGAUCCGUAGCGGGUCGUGAGAGGAUGAUCCGCCACACUGGAACUGAGACACGGUCCAGAUCCUACGGGAGGCAGCAGUGGGGAA
rnacentral:rRNA from 1 species